rnacentral:rRNA from 1 species
UACGUAGGGGGCUAGCGUUGUCCGGAAUCAUUGGGCGUAAAGAGCGUGUAGGCGGCCCGGUAAGUCCGCUGUGAAAGUCGGGGGCUCAACCCUCGAAUGCCGGUGGAUACUGUCGGGCUAGAGUGCGGAAGAGGCGAGUGGAAUUCCUGGUGUAGCGGUGAAAUGCGCAGAUAUCAGGAGGAACACCGGUGGCGAAGGCGGCUUUCUGGACAGAAACUGACGCUGGAUGCGCGAAAGCUAGGGGAGCAAACAGG